UCAUGCUUUUAUUGUGUUAGAUGCUUUGUUAAGGUUUUUCAGCAUUCAUGUUUUUAUACCAUUUUUUUUAUAUUUAUUGCCUUUUUUUUGCUAUUAUUGGACGCUAUUUUUUUAUAGUGUAUUUUUUAUUUUAUUAUUAUUAUUAGAUUGUUGUCAUUUUGUCAUUUUUUAUCUUUUUAUAUUUUAGUUUUUCAAGUAGUUAAUUAUCUUUUGAUCUUAAUUGUUG
rnacentral:lncRNA from 1 species